UGCAAGUCGAACGGCAGCAUGAUCUAGCUUGCUAGAUUGAUGGCGAGUGGCGAACGGGUGAGUAAUACAUCGGAACGUGCCCUGUAGUGGGGGAUAACUAGUCGAAAGAUUAGCUAAUACCGCAUACGACCUGAGGGUGAAAGUGGGGGACCGCAAGGCCUCAUGCUAUAGGAGCGGCCGAUGUCUGAUUAGCUAGUUGGUGGGGUAAAGGCCCACCAAGGCGACGAUCAGUAGCUGGUCUGAGAGGACGAUCAGCCACACUGGGACUGAGACACGGCCCAGACUCCUACGGGAGGCAGCAGUGGGGAAUUUUGGACAAUGGGCGAAAGCCUGAUCCAGCAAUGCCGCGUGUGUGAAGAAGGCCUUCGGGUUGUAAAGCACUUUUGUCCGGAAAGAAAUCGCACUUACUAAUACUAGGUGUGGAUGACGGUACCGGAAGAAUAAGGACCGGCUAACUACGUGCCAGCAGCCGCGGUAAUACGUAGGGUCCAAGCGUUAAUCGGAAUUACUGGGCGUAAAGCGUGCGCAGGCGGUUGUGCAAGACCGAUGUGAAAUCCCCGAGCUUAACUUGGGAAUUGCAUUGGUGACUGCACGGCUAGAGUGUGUCAGAGGGGGGUAGAAUUCCACGUGUAGCAGUGAAAUGCGUAGAGAUGUGGAGGAAUACCGAUGGCGAAGGCAGCCCCCUGGGAUAACACUGACGCUCAUGCACGAAAGCGUGGGGAGCAAACAGGAUUAGAUACCCUGGUAGUCCACGCCCUAAACGAUGUCAACUAGUUGUUGGGGAUUCAUUUCCUUAGUAACGUAGCUAACGCGUGAAGUUGACCGCCUGGGGAGUACGGUCGCAAGAUUAAAACUCAAAGGAAUU
rnacentral:rRNA from 1 species